rnacentral:rRNA from 1 species
UAUCUCUGUAGAGUCUGCAUAUCAAUAAGCGGAGGAAAAGAAACUAACUAGGAUUCCCUUAGUAACGGCGAGUGAAGCGGGAAGAGCUCAAAUUUGAAAUCUUCAAGGUUUUACCUUGACGAAUUGUAGUUUAAAGAAGUGUUUUCUGUUGGUAGUUUUGGUAAAAGUUCUUUGGAAUAGGACAUCAUAGAGGGUGAGAAUCCCGUAUUUGACCAUUACUUUCCAGCUUUGUGAUACACUUUCAAAGAGUCGGAUUGUUUGGGAAUGCAGUCCAAGAUGGGUGGUAAAUUUCAUCUAAAGCUAAAUAUUGGCGAGAGACCGAUAGCGAACAAGUACCGUGAGGGAAAGAUGAAAAGAACUUUGAAAAGAGAGUUAAACAGUACGUGAAAUUGUCAAAAGGGAAGCGUUUGACACCAGUGUUGUUUUCUCGAAAAUCAAUUAAAAAAAGUUGGAUUUUGUAUUGUUAAGACCUUAUCAGCUUACUGUACUCUUUUCUUGCUUUUUUUAAUGCACUUUUCGUUUAACAAGUCAACAUCAAUUUCUUUUGUUGUAAAAGAGUCAUUGGAAGGUGGCUUUCACUUCGGUGAAAGUGUUUAUAGCCUUUGGCUUCUGCAAUCGGAGAGAUUGAGGUCUGCAGCGUAGAUCCUUCGGGGCUAGAUACAUUAGAUGCUAAGUUAUAGCUUUUUAUAGAUCAACUUGUUGACUAUGAUUAAGUCAUGUAGCUUACUCGUUAUGCCUAUUUUACCUACGCUUAGGAUGUUGAUCUGUAGUGCGUGCGC